rnacentral:tRNA from 1 species
AGUCGUAUAGCUCAACCGGCAAAGCACAGUACUGAUAACGCUGCGGUCCAGGGUUCGAGCCCCUGGAUGACCA